AGUAAAAAUAAUACGUAAUGUAGUCGAUUUUACAACUUUACAUCUAUUGUAAACGUUUUCACGAUCACAUAUAUUUGUUUUUAAAAGUUUUAAAGAUAUAGUUGAACUCCUCAUCUCAAGGGCUUUGAUUUGAUAAAUUAUCUAUCUAAAUUUUAAA
rnacentral:sRNA from 1 species